AAAAUCCGUUGGUUUCGCGGGACCGUGAGGGUUC
rnacentral:tRNA from 3 species